GCAGGGGUGCCGGAGUGGUCAAACGGGAUGGGCUUAGGACCCAUUGGCUUAGUGCCUACGAGGGUUCAAACCCCUUCCCCUGCA
rnacentral:tRNA from 1 species